UACGGGGGGGGCAAGCGUUGUUCGGAAUUACUGGGCGUAAAGGGCUCGCAGGUGGCCAACUAAGUCAGACGUGAAAUCCCUCAGCUUAACUGGGGAACUGCGUCUGAUACUGGAUGGCUUGAGUUUGGGAGAGGGAUGCGGAAUUCCAGGUGUAGCGGUGAAAUGCGUAGAUAUCUGGAGGAACACCGGUGGCGAAGGCGGCAUCCUGGACCAACACUGACACUGAGGAGCGAAAGCCAGGGGAGCAAACGGG
rnacentral:rRNA from 1 species